rnacentral:rRNA from 1 species
AUUGAACGCUGGCGGCAGGCCUAACACAUGUAAGUCGAGCGAGCGGCGGACGGGUGAGUAAUGUAUGGGAAACUGCCUGAUGGAGGGGGAUAACUACUGGAAACGGUAGCUAAUACCGCAUACCAUCAGAUGUGCCCAGAUGGGAUUAGCUAGUAGGUGGGGUAAUGGCUCACCUAGGCGACGAUCCCUAGCUGGUCUGAGAGGAUGACAAGCCACACUGGAACUGAGACACGGUCCAGACUCCUACGGGAGGCAGCAGUGGGGAAUAUUGCACAAUGGGCGCAAGCCUGAUGCAGCAAUGCCGCGUGUGUGAAGAAGGCCCUCGGGUUGUAAAGCACUUUCAGUGGGGAGGCGUUACCCGCAGAAGAAGCACCGGCUAACUCCGUGCCAGCCGCCGCGGUAAUAC